ACCAGUCCUCUCUCUGGGCACAAGCCUUCAGGCCCAGCUGUCCUGGCACUCCCCAGCUUGGCACUUGAAGGCCCUCUUUCUGCCCUGUGUCCUCUCCCUCUCCCCUUUGCUGCUUCAAACCAGAACAUUGGAAACAGCCCAUAAAAGUGAAACAAAACUGGAGGGAAAAAGAAACAGGGAAUUUGGCCUAUAAAAAAGGAGGUUUCAAAAUGCAAAUAUCUUUGAUGGAAAUUUUUCUUUCCUGGAGUCUAAUGGACAUGGCCCCCAAGCACCAGUCUUGGAGAAGCUUUGGGUUCUCUUUUAGUCUGGGACGUUCCACUCUUCUUCAGAGAAGUGCCUGAGGAUUCUGCAGAAGACUUCUUUGUUCACUCUGAAAUAUCCCUGAAACUGAGCUGUGGGUGUUGAGCUUUCCCCCUAUUCCUAAUUAAGCACUGCUGUCUGUGUUUCCACUUGAAUAUAGCUCUCCUUUAAAAUGUUCUGUCAUCCCAUGAAAGCCAAAGAAGUCACAAGAGGACAGGCGCCAUGCUUUACUUAAUGACAUCGAUGGAGAAAAACCUUCAUUUGUUUGUUGUAAUAUAGUUAUUCAGCUUCUGUAAACAGCAAAUGUUUUUCAUCUAAAUAAAAAUUGAAAAAAAAUGAAGAUAUUGUUUCUGUAGAAAGACUAUGCUAUUGCCCUAGUAAUGUCAACCAAGAUCUAAAUUGAUAGAAAAAGAGGUAUUUCAUACAUAUCAAUCAUGUUUUCAAAUCACCACAUAGAGGCAUAUUAAGCAGAAAAAGUUCCUGCUGGAAGUACAAGUUAGAGUUAUUUGUAAUGUGCUUCUGUGGGAACAGUUUGUUAUAAUGUCUUGGUUAGAUGAGGACGGAGAUGGAUAGUCACAGAGUAGACUAGAUGUACAAUGACUGAAAAGGGUGAGGUUAUGACGGGAGAGGAAGGACACAGAAGACAAGUGGGUGGGUAAAAGUACUUGCUGCAUAAACCUGACAAGGUGAGCUAGGAUCCCAGAAAACCCAUCAAAACAAACAAACAAACAAACAAACAAAUAAAUAAAUGAAACAAAA